UACGGGGGGGGCAAGCGUUGUUCGGAAUUACUGGGCGUAAAGGGCUCGUAGGUGGCCAACUAAGUCAGACGUGAAAUCCCUCAGCUUAACUGGGGAACUGCGUCUGAUACUGGAUGGCUUGAGUUUGGGAGAGGGAUGCGGAAUUCCAGGUGUAGCGGUGAAAUGCGUAGAUAUCUGGAGGAACACCGGUGGCGAAGGCGGCAUCCUGGACCAAUACUGACACUGAGGAGUGAAAGCCAGGGGAGCAAACGGG
rnacentral:rRNA from 1 species